AUGAAAAAAGGUGCCGUCAUUGACCAGGAGCUUCCAUACAUCUACGAGGGGAAAAGUGUUCAAAACAUGAUGGAGAUCUUCAAUCCCACAAUGACCCUACAAAGUACAAGAUGUACUCAAAAAAAAAAAAAAAGGAUCAGAUUGUUCAUGGCCUCAUCCAGCCUGCCUUUGAACACCUCCAGAGACGGGGCAUCUACAACUUCUCUUGGCAACCUGUUCCAGUGACUCACUACCCUUACAGUGAAGAAUUUUGACGUAAUGUGUAGUCUAAACGUGGGGAUCCCCCCACAUGGGGAUGGAGAGCUCUUGAGCUCUAAAAAAAAUCCUUGAAGAGUUGCCAGCUCUGAUCAGAUCUUCUUUCCCUAAGGACAGUGUCCCACAGGAUCUCAUCCACUAAUUCUUUGUAUAACUGGAAGUUCACUCUUAUAAAGUUGAGGGUUCUGAAUUUGCUCUUUGCCAGGCCCACAUCCCUUGAGAUCACAAAUUCAACCAGGGUGUGGUCACUGCAACCCAGACUGCCUUCAAUCUUAACCUCUUUAAUGAGGUCAUCCACAUUGGUGAGCACCAGGUUCAGAAACACUUCUCCUCUAGUUGGUUUGUCUAAUACCUGGAUGAGGAAGCUGGCCUUAAUGCACUCAAGGAGUCUCCUGGAUUGUUUACUGCCUGCUGUGUAGCUUUCUUGGCAGACAUGUGUGAUUGAAAUCCCCCAGCAGGAUGAGAGCCUGUUAGCACAAUGCUUUUUGUAUUUAGAACUACAAGGCUUCAUCAAAAGGCUGCCCUUGAUCAGGUGGCCUGUAGUAGACCCCAACCACAAGAUGCCCUUUAUUGGUCUGAUGCUUAAUUUUUACCCACAUAUUCUCAACCUGCUCAUGGCUGUUUCUCAGCGGUAACUCUUCACAAUCUACCAAUUUCUUAACAUAAAGGGCAACUCCCCCACCCUUCCUUCCCUGACCAUCCCUCCUGUAAAGCUUGUAGCCCUCCAUUCCAGUGUUCCAGUUGUGUGAUUCGUCCCACCACACUUCCAUGAUAGCAAUUAGAUCAUAGUUUUCUAACUGCACUAUGGCUUCCAACUCCUGCUUAUUCCCCAUGCUGUGUGCAUUGGUGUAGAGGCCAACUUGAAGUUCCACACAGUCUAGCCCCUCCUUCAUAUACAUUGCCACUCCCCCGACCUCACCUACCCUGCCUGUCCCUCCUGAAGAGCCUGUAAUCAUCUAUUGUGACACAC
rnacentral:lncRNA from 1 species